CACGCACGUACACACACCAUCCACCUUCGACCCCCUACCAAACCCACAACCAAAUAUGCCGGAAAUAGGCGUCGAAAGACUGUUAAUUGGCGGGCAAGAGAAGAUGAGAUGGAGUUAGCGCGUUGGGACGGUUUGGAGGGAAAGUAGUCGGAGAGAUGCCUACUGUCUCAUAUCACUGCACUAUGUCCCCCAAAGUAAAGGAGGAAUUGAUUGUAUUCUGCAGCCCAUUUCCUGUGUCAGCAAGUUGCCAUGCAUCAUGCAGGUAUAAUCUUGACUGGAAACAUGGGAGCCCAAAGGAGC